rnacentral:rRNA from 1 species
AGUGAACGCUGGCGGUAGGCCUAACACAUGCCAGUCGAACGGCAGCACAGUAAGAGCUUGCUCUUACGGGUGGCGAGUGGCGGACGGGUGAGGAAUACAUCGGAAUCUACUUUUUCGUGGGGGAUAACGUAGGGAAACUUACGCUAAUACCGCAUACGACCUACGGGUGAAAGCAGGGGAUCUUCGGACCUUGCGCGAUUGAAUGAGCCGAUGUCGGAUUAGCUAGUUGGCGGGGUAAAGGCCCACCAAGGCGACGAUCCGUAGCUGGUCUGAGAGGAUGAUCAGCCACACUGGAACUGAGACACGGUCCAGACUCCUACGGGAGGCAGCAGUGGGGAAUAUUGGACAAUGGGCGCAAGCAUGAUCCAGCCAUACCGCGUGGGUGAAGAAGGCCUUCGGGUUGUAAAGCCCUUUUGUUGGGAAAGAAAAGCAGCAGGUUAAUACCCCGCUGUUCUGACGGUACCCAAAGAAUAGGCACCGGCUAACUUCGUG